rnacentral:rRNA from 1 species
GAUCAUGGCUCAGGAUGAACGCUAGCUACAGGCUUAACACAUGCAAGUCGAGGGGCAGCAUGUUGGUUGCUUGUCAACCGAUGAUGGCGACCGGCGCACGGGUGAGUAACGCGUAUCCAACCUACCCUUGUCCAUCGGAUAACCCGUCGAAAAGGCGGCCUAACACGAUAUGCGGUUCACAGCAGGCAUCUAACGUGAACGAAAUGUGAAGGAGAAGGAUGGGGAUGCGU